GCUCUAUUGCUGUUGGGAGUCCACAUGAUAAGCUUGCUUCUCUAUGUUAGCGGCGGACGGGUGAGUAACACGUGGGUAACCUACCUAUAAGACUGGGAUAACUCCGGGAAACCGGGGCUAAUACCGGAUAAUAUUUUGAACCGCAUGGUUCAAUAGUGAAAGACGGUUUCGGCUGUCACUUAUAGAUGGACCCGCGCCGUAUUAGCUAGUUGGUAAGGUAACGGCUUACCAAGGCGACGAUACGUAGCCACCUGAGAGGGUGAUCGGCCACACUGGAACUGAGACACGGUCAGACUCCUACGGGAGGCAGCAGUAGGGAAUCUUCCGCAAUGGGCGAAAGCCUGACGGAGCAACGCCGCGUGAGUGAUGAAGGUCUUCGGAUCGUAAAACUCUGUUGUUAGGGAAGAACAAAUUUGUUAGUAACUGAACAAGUCUUGACGGUACCUAACCAGAAAGCCACGGCUAACUACGUGCCAGCAGCCGCGGUAAUACGUAGGUGGCAAGCGUUAUCCGGAAUUAUUGGGCGUAAAGCGCGCGUAGGCGGUUUCUUAAGUCUGAUGUGAAAGCCCACGGCUCAACCGUGGAGGGUCAUUGGAAACUGGGAAACUUGAGUGCAGAAGAGGAGAGUGGAAUUCCAUGUGUAGCGGUGAAAUGCGCAGAGAUAUGGAGGAACACCAGUGGCGAAGGCGGCUCUCUGGUCUGUAACUGACGCUGAUGUGCGAAAGCGUGGGGAUCAAACAGGAUUAGAUACCCUGGUAGUCCACGCCGUAAACGAUGAGUGCUAAGUGUUAGGGGGUUUCCGCCCCUUAGUGCUGCAGCUAACGCAUUAAGCACUCCGCCUGGGGAGUACGACCGCAAGGUUGAAACUCAAAGGAAUUGACGGGGACCCGCACAAGCGGUGGAGCAUGUGGUUUAAUUCGAAGCAACGCGAAGAACCUUACCAAAUCUUGACAUCCUUUGACCGCUCUAGAGAUAGAGUCUUCCCCUUCGGGGGACAAAGUGACAGGUGGUGCAUGGUUGUCGUCAGCUCGUGUCGUGAGAUGUUGGGUUAAGUCCCGCAACGAGCGCAACCCUUAAGCUUAGUUGCCAUCAUUAAGUUGGGCACUCUAGGUUGACUGCCGGUGACAAACCGGAGGAAGGUGGGGAUGACGUCAAAUCAUCAUGCCCCUUAUGAUUUGGGCUACACACGUGCUACAAUGGAUAAUACAAAGGGCAGCGAAUCCGCGAGGCCAAGCAAAUCCCAUAAAAUUAUUCUCAGUUCGGAUUGUAGUCUGCAACUCGACUACAUGAAGCUGGAAUCGCUAGUAAUCGUAGAUCAGCAUGCUACGGUGAAUACGUUCCCGGGUCUUGUACACACCGCCCGUCACACCACGAGAGUUUGUAACACCCGAAGCCGGUGGAGUAACCUUUUAGGAGCUAGCCGUCGAUGG
rnacentral:rRNA from 1 species